GGAACGCCAUCCCUCCAGCAAGUGGAGUGGUAUGCGCGUGUCAAAUUUGAAGUAGACUAGAGGCGGAGAGGGUAUAGGACUGCACGCGUCGGUAGAUAGCAGUGGGACUAGAGCACAUACCGGGCACGGUACCAAAGGAUACACCUACCACGUUGGUUUCAAAACAUCAGGAUUCGAAAAAGUUGCAAUGAAGGACGUGUGUUUCCAGUGUUAUCACACAAAAUGCCCAGAGGUGGCCAUAUUUUAUGAUCUUAAUGGUGAUCUGAACAAGAAUCUGCUGGUGCCAGGCCCUUUCCAGAAAUGCACCUCCACUCCCUAUCCUCCAUCUGGGAAGUGCACCAUGUGUCUCCAGGAUAAUUAUUCUUAUGCUUUGUGCAGAAGUGUGUCAGAGAGUCUCCAGCCUGCCCUGGAGGCCAAUAGAACUGCCGUUACCAACUAUAAACAAACCAAUUGCUCUGUCAUUGGCAUCGCGUCAACUACUGUGAAUGGUCCAGACUUCACUGGAGCUGGUGGUCAAAACGGACAUCCUGGGGGUGAACUGUGGUGGUGUUUACUGAUCCUCGUCCUGGUCGUCAUUUGCAUUGGCAUUGGCAUUGGCAUUGCUUACUGGUGUAUCAAGAAGCGCAAAAUAAAUAGAAACCAUGUCGUAUAAGGGAGAAAGUGACAGGGACAGCCCUCAGGACUACCCAUCCCUUAACCAAGCUGUUUGGACCAAACCACCAGAGACACGGACAACCCUCAGGACUACCCAUCCCUUAACCAAGCUGUUUGGACCAAACCACCAGAGACACGGACAACCCUCAGGACUACCCAUCCCUUAACCAAGCUGUUUGGACCAAACCACCAGAGACACGGACAACCCUCAGGACUACCCAUCCCUUAACCAAGCUGUUUGGACCAAACCACCAGAGACACGGACAACCCUCAGGACUACCCAUCCCUUAACCAAGCUGUUUGGACCAAACCACCAGAGACACGUACAACCCUCAGGACUACCCAUCCCUUAACCAAGCUGUUUGGACCAAACCACCAGAGACACGUACAACCCUCAGGACUACCCAUCCCUUAACCAAGCUGUUUGGACCAAACCACCAGAGACACGUACAACCCUCAGGACUACCCAUCCCUUAACCAAGCUGUUUGGACCAAACCACCAGAGACACGGACAACCCUCAGGACUACCCAUCCCUUAACCAAGCUGUUUGGACCAAACCACCAGAGACACGGACAACCCUCAGGACUACCCAUCCCUUAACCAAGCUGUUUGGACCAAACCACCAGAGACACGGACAACCCUCAGGACUACCCAUCCCUUAACCAAGCUGUUUGGACCAAACCACCAGAGACACGGACAACCCUCAGGACUACCCAUCCCUUAACCAAGCUGUUUGGACCAAACCACCAGAGACACGGACAACCCUCAGGACUACCCAUCCCUUAACCAAGCUGUUUGGACCAAACCACCAGAGACACGUACAACCCUCAGGACUACCCAUCCCUUAACCAAGCUGUUUGGACCAAACCACCAGAGACACGUACAACCCUCAGGACUACCCAUCCCUUAACCAAGCUGUUUGGACCAAACCACCAGAGACACGUACAACCCUCAGGACUACCCAUCCCUUAACCAAGCUGUUUGGACCAAACCACCAGAGACACGGACAACCCUCAGGACUACCCAUCCCUUAACCAAGCUGUUUGGACCAAACCACCAGAGACACGUACAACCCUCAGGACUACCCAUCCCUUAACCAAGCUGUUUGGACCAAACCACCAGAGACACGUACAACCCUCAGGACUACCCAUCCCUUAACCAAGCUGUUUGGACCAAACCACCAGAGACACGUACAACCCUCAGGACUACCCAUCCCUUAACCAAGCUGUUUGGACCAAACCACCAGAGACACGUACAACCCUCAGGACUACCCAUCCCUUAACCAAGCUGUUUGGACCAAACCACCAGAGACACGGACAACCCUCAGG